UACAGAGGUCCCAAGCGUUGUCGGAUUCAUUGGGCGUAAAGGGUGCGUAGGCGGCGCGGUAAGUCGGGUGUGAAAUCUCGGAGCUUAACUCCGAAACUGCAUUCGAUACUGCCGUGCUUGAGGACUGGAGAGGAGACUGGAAUUUACGGUGUAGCGGUGAAAUGCGUAGAUAUCGUAAGGAAGACCAGUGGCGAAGGCGGGUCUCUGGACAGUUCCUGACGCUGAGGCACGAAGGCCAGGGGAGCAAACGGG
rnacentral:rRNA from 1 species